rnacentral:rRNA from 1 species
UAAAGGUUAGAUAAGUCGUAACAAAGUAGGUGUAAUGGAAAUUGCACCUGUCGGAGUAUAGCAUAUAAAAUGCUUUUUACUUACACUAAAAAUAAAGUUAAUAAACUUGCCCCGCCCACAUGAUACGACCCUAUAAACAAUAAAUAAUAGAAGCAACUAAACAUAUAAUACAUAAAAGUACAGAAAUGGAAAACCCAAUAAAUAAAAGUAAUUAUUAAAAAAUAUACCUUGUGCAUUAUGGUUUUACAAGAAAAUAAUUUAAAACCUAAAUCCCGAAUUCUAAAUGAGAUGUUAAACUGCUGUUAUGAACCCAUUAAUAACUGUGGAAAAAGUUUUAAAAGACAGUUUAACAGAGGCUACAUACCAUUCGCAUAAGAAUAUAGCUGGUUUUCAACAAACAUUAUACAUUAAAACAUAUAAUUAUAUUAUAGUGUAAAAUUACUGAGGAUAAGCCCAAUAAUUUAAUGCAAUAUGUUAAAAUAUCUAUUAACACCUAUAGGCCUAAAAUCAGCCAACUAAAAUACUUUACCGUAAUUAAAACAGAUAAAUAUACAUAAAUUAGUUAUGCUAAAAAAAGUUGAAGUAGUGGGUAAAUUAUAUGCCCCACUUACAUUAUGUAAAAAUAAGUAUUUAUAUAUUAUAAACAAUAUUAUACAAGAAAUAACACCAAAUAAAUAAUAAAAAUUAAUUAAGGAACUCGGCAAAUACUUAUUUCGACUGUUUAAC